ensembl:lncRNA
CGAAAGGCAGUCAUUUCACACUCUUUUGAACGAGGAGAAACAAAUUGAAGUCUGCUGGGGACUUUAGGAAAAGUUUUGUUUUUAUAUUACAGGGUGAAUAUCCCUUAUCCUGAAAUCCUUGGUACCAGAGUGUUUAGAUUUUGGAAUACUUGCAUAUACAUAAUAUAUCCCCCAUCUUGGGGACAGGACUCAAGUCUAAACCUGAAAUUCAUUGAUGUUUCAUAUAUUUCUUCUGCACAUAGCCCGAAGGUAAUUUUGUACAAUAUUUUAAAUUAUAUGUGGCUGAAACAAAGUUUGCGUACAUGGAACCAUCAGAAAGCAAAGGUGUCACUCUCUCAGCAAAUCACGGGGAUAAUCUAUGGUUGUUUGGCCUCACCAUCAUUCCUGACUCUGAAUUUACAUGCUAUUGAUUAGCAAUCACUUUCUUAUUCUUAUUUAAGUACUUAACAGUAAGAAAUGUGACAUAACAUUAAUACAGUGAAAAAGUAAUGUGUCAGGGUAACUAAGCAGCACAGUAGCAUCACCAGGAUACCUGCAUCUCGUUACACAACAGCAACCACAAACAAUGGCAGGCUUUCCGUCUCCACCUACAGUGUUGUGUUUGGAUUAAAAGGUGACCGCACAAUCUAUUUUAUUUUUUUAGGUGAGAAGAAACUGUAUAUGGUGGUUAUUCUUUUUUUUUUUUUUUGAGACAGAGUCUCACUCUGCCGCCCGGGCUGGAGUGCAGUGGCACGAUCUUGGCUCACUGCAAGCUCCACCUCCUGGGUUCAUGCCAUUCUCCUGCCUCAGCCUCCCGAGUAGCUGGGACUACAGGAUCCUGUAUAUGGUGGUUAUUCUCACAUUAUACUCUGCGAUACGUUCGAUUUACUUCUCCGGAUCCAUUCUCUACACUUCACCCUGCCCACUGCCCUGGGAAGCGGUAUGGAAUAUACAGACAACUCUCCAGCACCGGCUGAGCCAAUGGAGGAUCUCCAGUAGAAGAUGAGGAAGUGAAGAGGAUGAGAGCGGGAUAUUUAUUCUCCUGGCUGUCUGCCUGCAGGGCUGCUUGGGGCUGGCUGUGUUCCUCUAUUGAAGGUCACAUGUCUUCUCAAGGUUGCCCUCUCUUGCCAACUCCUUCCUUCUGGAUUCUGGUAACUGCUCUCCCUCUGCCCCUGUAAGCCUUGGGGUGGUAAUAUCCCCAGUGAUGCUUGCUCUGGGAUUCGGCGUUUUUCCUUGUGAUUUCCUAGACCCUGUCUAUUUCAUGUGUAGAUAGUCUCUGUAUCAAAACCUCCUUGAUUCCUCUUAACUGGAAUAUGCUGUUGGUUUCCAGCUGGGAUCCUGAUUGAUACGGUCACAUUGAGAUUUUGAUUGAGAUGGCAUUGAAUAUAUAGAUUGUUUUGGAGAGAAAUGUUUUGGAGAGUAUAGAAUCUCUCCUUCCAAUAACAUGGUCGAUCUUCCUUUAUUAACAUCUUUUAAAAAAUGUCUUUCUAUAAAAUGGUGUGUUUUUUCUCAAAAAAGGUUUUGCAUAUUUAUGAUAGAUUCACUUAUAGGUAGCUUGUAGCUUUAGUUCCUAUAAUGAUAAGUUUUUUUUCUAAAAUAUAGUUGGUAAAUGCUGGUUUAUAGAAAAGUUGUUGAUUUUUGUGUAGUGAUUUUGCAUCUGGAUACUUUGCUGAACUCUCAAAUAAGUUUCAAUAGUUUUCAGUUGAUUUUCUUCAGUUUUCUAGGCAGAUAAUCUCAUCUGUAAGUAAUGACAAUUUUAUUUCCUUUUCAAUUUUUAAAUAACUUUUAUUUCUUUCUCUUAUAUUUUUUCUUGUUUUGGCAACUGGCUAGACCUCUAAUACAAUGUUGAAUAAUAUUAACGGCAAUAAACAUUUUUGUGUUGCAUGAUAUUAAUAGGUAAUUGCACCAAGUUAAAGACUUUAGUUCUGACUUAUUUACUAAAAGUUUUAAGAGUAAUAAAUAGCUGUUGAAUUGUAUCAAAGGUCUUUUCAGCAGUUGGGAGAUAAUAUUUUAAAAAUUGGUCUGUAACAGUUAUGCAUAUAAUAAUUAUAUUUUUAUUUUUUAUUAAAGUUAUACAUGUUCAUUUGUUAAAAAUAAGACUUCUAAUAAAAAUAGCUUUUUAUAGUCAUUAUUUCUCACACUUCUCACUUUCCUGAGUCAGUAAUUUCCAUUCUUCUGGCUGUUUCUUCUGGGUAUUUACCUCCAUAGUUUUUAAUUACAUGCAUAUACUGCCAUUUAAAAAAAAAUUCUUUGAACAUUUUCCUCUACAGAUUAGAAGGUUACAAAGUUUAUCUUGAUUUUUUCAGGUCUUUCUUCCAUUUUGACAUAAUACAUAACUGAAUAUUUUUCUCAUGAAGUCUAGAGUUAAUUAGUAUUUAUAUUCUUUCUCUGCAUAUAACAAAAAAGCAUGCCUUUAUUUAUCUUUCCAUUAUCCAAACCGCAUGUUGCUAUUGAUUCAAAUUUUGAAUUCAGAUUUUUAUUAAAAACCUU